AACGAACGCUGGCGGCAGGCUUAACACAUGCAAGUCGAGCGCCCCGCAAGGGGAGCGGCAGACGGGUGAGUAACGCGUGGGAAUCUACCCAUCUCUACGGAAUAACGCAUGGAAACGUGUGCUAAUACCGUAUACGUCCUUCGGGAGAAAGAUUUAUCGGAGAUGGAUGAGCCCGCGUUGGAUUAGCUAGUUGGUGAGGUAAUGGCUCACCAAGGCGACGAUCCAUAGCUGGUCUGAGAGGAUGAUCAGCCACACUGGGACUGAGACACGGCCCAGACUCCUACGGGAGGCAGCAGUGGGGAAUAUUGGACAAUGGGCGCAAGCCUGAUCCAGCCAUGCCGCGGGAGUGAUGAAGGCCUUAGGGUUGUAAAGCUCUUUCAGUGGGGAAGAUAAUGACGGUACCCACAGAAGAAGCCCCGGCUAACUCCGUGCCAGCAGCCGCCGUAAAAC
rnacentral:rRNA from 1 species